UCUCACCGAAGCACCCCUCCUCCUCCCAGGUGCUUCGCGCGAUCCGGGUCACCUCCUCCCGACCCCAGGAUCCAUUCAAGAAGCCUGCCGCACCUCCUCCCGCGGCAGGCUUUUUUG
rnacentral:sRNA from 1 species